rnacentral:lncRNA from 1 species
UCGGACACACAGUCCCCGUGGGGCUCAUGGGGAUCGCGGGCCUGUCCUCACUCCCUCGGGCCUCCCCCGCCCCUCUCACUCCACCCCCCUUUCUGCAGGCCCCUCNGGGGGGGGGGGGGGGGGGGGGGGGGGGGUUCCAGGAUCACAGAGGGGUCCCCCGCGCUCUGGUGCUUUCUGUCCGCUAGUGUGCCCAAUUUCCCGCAGGGGCGGGUGACUUUCUGCCCCAGAGAUGCCCGCGCGUGGUGGCCUCGUACGGCGAUCUCCGGCUGCGCCGGGCUGCGCGCGCGCCUGGGUGCCCGUCUGCGCCGCCCGCCCCUUGGGAGAAACGUGAGAGUAUCAUACCAGCUGGAGGCAGAGGCAGCCCGGCUCGGGCUCUGCGGACACUGAACCCGCCUGACCGCCCCCCACCCCCGGCUCCCUAACGUGCCGCCCCAGAGGAACUGGGGUCGCCAAGGGCGCCUCACGAAGCGCAGAGGCACUCGGGCCGGGUGACCGUCAACUUUGCGCACAAAUAUGGGGCUUAGGGGCCGCAGGCCUUGGCGGCGGGGACUGGACGGCCAGAGCGGUGCGUGCCCAGGUCCCAUCCCCGGGCUGGAGUUUGCUUCUCACGCAGAACGCUGCCGCGCUGUCUUUGUCUUUGGAACCUGCCUGGAGACCGGGAGGCGUAAGGACAUUUUUUUUUCUUUCUUUAGAAAAGGAAAGUGUUGGCGCAAGUUGGACUCAGUGACUUCAGAGGCCUUUUCCAGUUAUGACUUAUUAUGAAGAAGGAACUGGCCCCAGAGGCCAUAAAAGGAGUUGGUAGGAGCAGAGAAAAAAACUUUGGGUGCCUGGUUUGGCCCCAGCCACAGGCUCCAAUGGAAAUGCAGACGAGGACCUGGUUCUGGGGGCCCAGGGCCAGAUUCUGGAGCAGAAGAGACCCCAGGUUUUGCCUGAAUGGGGAGGCUGUUGGGUUGGGGUGGCAGGUGUGGGAUUCCUGAAAGCCAGACACAAUGAAGCAGAAGCCCACAACCUCAAAAGUUUCAAGUUCAAGAAGAGGGCUACAUUUAUGAACCCUGGCUGUUGAAACUGUUGUGGGAGUACAGUUGCCGCAGGGGCUCUAGCCUCCACUCAGAAAACGGGGUCCAGAGAAGCAGGUACACCAGCAACAGGACGGGGUCAGACGGGCUGCCAUGUACUUGUGGUCCCCUUGGGAAGUGAGGUUGGAAUCAAAUGACCUAGCCCUGCUUCUCUCUAAUUUCCUGGUUUGGGGGAUCUUACCCAGCAUCUUUGGGCCUCAAAGAUGCUGCUCAUCUGUAGGCACAAGAGCUCCUCCGUAGGGGUGUUUUGGGGAUUGAAAGUGGUAUAAGCCCCCAUUCCAUCCUGCCUUCCCUCCUUUUCCACUUCUCAAAGUCCCUGGUGCUUGCUCACUAGGACUCCUUCCAAGUCCUAGUUUCCCGAGAGCAGGUGGGGUCCAGUGGGACGAAGGCUGGGGAGCAGCGCCCCCUGGUGGGUGAUAUCAGGAGGGCGCAGUCCGUCUGCGAGGACACGCCUGGGCUAAUCUGCUUAGCGCCUGCUGGGCUCUGGCGAGUCCAGCCUCCCUGCGCGGAUCCUGGAGCUCUCCUCGGGGAAGUUUUUCCUUCUUGCCUCAGUUACUCCCUUGAGCAAGCACAGAGAAUCCUGUUUCUCCGCAGCAGACUCUCCUCUGCCCUCACACAGCCCAGCUUCUCCUAUUUUCACAGGCUUCUUUCACUUCUGCUGCGGAGGAAUCCCUUUGGCAUUUAUA